CCUAUUACGUUACAUUGCAACCAACUAUUUUAGGAUCAAAUAUUUUACAUGAUGAACAAAAUUUCGGUUCAUGUUCAUAAAUGAUGUUUUUGAUUUCUGACUCUACCUAUAAGCAACUUCGUUUGAACAUUAUGAACCAACUCAAUAGAGGCAUCAACUUCCACCAAAACUCUCGUGUAAGACAAUCAGCCCUUAGUUGAUGUGAGCUUAUGUGUCGCAAUUGGUUUGCCUACCUUGGAAGCAAUCUUCCCUGAAGCAUUCGGUGUCCAACAAUCCAAAGGCAACCCCAAACGCAUAAUUCAAAUUGGAAUUGCACUAAUGUCCUUGACAUGAAAUUCGAAACAUCGAUGUCUAAUUUUCAGCAUCAACAGUCUCCUAAAGAUAAAAUACGGACCUUUCAAGUACACACUGCCUAUCAACCUCAUCUUCAAACUUGAAGAUGAGCCAACCACUAUUAUGCACAAAGUAAUUAUACUUUACCUUCCAAAAAUCACACAUGUGGAACGAUGCCAUUUUUCCUGGAAACCCGUUUAGCGAAAUAUCCAACCAAGCAAAGCCUACAAGCUGAUCUAAUGUUGUCCACGUCAAGCUUAUCUAAGAUAACUUCAUUUGGCUAGUUUCGAAAAGUUUGAAGCUUAAGUCAUUUCUUAUGUUUUCUGUUGUCUAUGAAGAGGUUAACCCAUAGGGCUUUUGUAGACUUUUGGUCCAUUAAGCACAUCUCCUUUAGCUGCGUGAGGUUUAGUAGUUGACCCUUCGGAUUGUGAAUCUUCAUAGGCAAGUGUUUGAGAAACACUUUGUGACUUUGUCAUUUCCUUACUCAGCUCUCCCCAAUAAGCUAUUGCAUAACUUUGAGUAUCACAAUUAGAAGAAAUAGAAGAAAUUUUACCAUCAUUACCUCGCUAUUGAACAACAUCUUUUGAGUUUUAGGCUAUCUUUGCUGGGAUGAUUGGAUGUUGCACACUGUUCUGGCCGUUUUUCUUCUUUCCCAUUGUAGUUGGAAGUUGUUAAAAUGGCUAGACAACUAGAUACAAGCUGGGAAAUUCGAACCUAAUCUGGAAGGAAAACAAAAUUUGAAAAACUUUGCCAAGAAUGGAAAGAAUAUUCUACUGGAUAUAACUUUGAACGGCCCGCACUUUCCCAAACUGAAUGAGUAAUUCAAAUUUUUUGAAAUCUUUAUCCAAAAAUAAAAAAAAAUGGGUUUGCAAUAACACACAUGAAUAUGCAAGAACAAUGUAGAGAGAAUAAUGGGUGAAUUCGAAUUUACCAAAGUUAUGGAAGGCGAAUUCGAAAUUUAGAACACUACUCACAUUGCUAGCCGAAUACAAAUCUUCCACAGGAUGGGAUGCAAUAUUUGAAAUUAAAACAAGUAUUACCCAAAUUUUGAAUUUGGACGAACUAAUUAAGAAAUUGUCUUCAAGCUGGCUAAACUUAACGAAGGAUUGUUUGUUGAUUUCAAAUUUAUCGGUGAAGGAAAGGUAAAAUUCAAACAAAAAACAAGAAAUCUCAAUAAUGUAAGGAACAACCUAGUGAGUGUUUCUUUCAUAUGUUGGAG
rnacentral:lncRNA from 1 species